GCAAAUGCAUCUGGGUCAUCUGCCAAUCCGAGUGGGUCGAAGGCGCCUCCUGGGUAAAUUGGGUCCAGUCCUUCACCAAGGGGACCACCACCAACCCGGUAACCUUCAACGAAGCCCAUGAGCACAACCUGGACAGCCCAGAUUGCAAGGAUACUCUGAGCAUGGAUGAGGUUUGGGUUGCCAAGGUAAUCUAGACCACCCUCAGAGAAGAUCUGAGAACCAGCCUUGAACCAAACUGAUUCACCAAACUGGACACCAUUCUUUGCAAGGAGUUCAGGGAAGACACAACCUAAUGCACCAAGCAUCGCCCAUCGGGAGUGGAUCACCUCAAGCUCACGGUUCUUCGCAAAAGUCUCGGGAUCUGCUGAUAGACCGGCUGUGUCCCAUCCAUAGUCACCGGGGAACUCUCCAGUCAGGUAAGAUGGUGUUUGUUCAGAGAAUGGUCCCAAGUAUUUUGGGCGAUCUGGUCCAUACCAUAUGCUCUGUGGAGCACUCUUGACUGUUCGUCGCAUGGUGAAGCGGCCGCCACCGACAGCGCCAACCCUUCGGACGAGCUCAUUGGAUUGCUUCAAGGCAGCCUGGCCGGCGAAGGCGGACUGUUGGAUAGCAGAGGUGGCCAUAAGUGUGUGAAGCUUUCUUAGAAGUUUGAUGCGAUGCCAAAG
rnacentral:misc_RNA from 1 species